AGUGGCGGACGGGUGAGUAACACAUGGGUGACCUACCCCCACGUGAGGAAUACCGGCGAGAAAUCGCCGACAAAACCGCAUAGGCUGUCUUGGGUAGAGCCAAGAGAGCAAAGGGUCAUUCUUGCAAGAGAGAGAGCCGCGUGGGGAGGGGCCUGUGGCCGAUUAGCUAGUUGGGGGGGUAAAAGCCUCCCAAGGCGACGAUCGGUAGCUGGUCUGAGAGGACGAACAGCCACACUGGGAUUGAGAACGGCCCAGACUCCUACGGGGGGCAGCAGUGAGGAAUUUUCCGCAAUGGGCGCAAGCCUGACGGAGCAACGCCGCGUGCAGGAGGACGCUUUUCGGAGUGUAAACUGCUUUUCUGUGGGACGAGGAUGAACGGUACCACAGGAAGAAGCCCCGGCUAACUACGUGCCAGCAGCCGCGGUAAUGCGUAGGGGGCGAGCGUUGUCCGGAGUUACUGGGCGUAAAGGGCACGCAGGCGGUUCUGCGCGUUUCGCGUGACAGCGGGUGGCUUCACUGCCCGAGGAUGCGAAA
rnacentral:rRNA from 1 species